rnacentral:rRNA from 1 species
GGAAUAUUGGACAAUGGGGGAAACCCUGAUCCAGCAAUGCCGCGUGAGUGAUGAAGGCCUUAGGGUCGUAAAGCUCUUUUACCCGGGAUGAUAAUGACAGUACCGGGAGAAUAAGCCCCGGCUAACUCCGUGCCAGCAGCCGCGGUAAUACGGGGGGGGUAAGCGUUGUUCGGAAUUACUGGGCGUAAAGGGCUCGUAGGCGGCCAACUAAGUCAUACGUGAAAUCCCUCAGCUUAACUGGGGAACUGCGUGUGAUACUGGAUGGCUUGGAUUUGGGAGAGGGAUGCGGAAUUCCAGGUGUAGCGGUGAAAUGCGUAGAUAUCUGGAGGAACACCGGUGGCGAAGGCGGCAUCCUGGACCAACAUUGACGCUGAGGAGCGAAAGCCAGGGGAGCAAAC